rnacentral:rRNA from 1 species
GACGGAGGAUGCAAGCGUUAUCCGGAAUUAUUGGGCGUAAAGCGUCCGCAGGUGGCUGUUCAAGUCUGCUGUCAAAGACCGGGGCUUAACUUCGGAAAGGCAGUGGAAACUGAACAGCUAGAGUAUGGUAGGGGCAGAGGGAAUUCCUGGUGUAGCGGUGAAAUGCGUAGAGAUCAGGAAGAACAUCGGUGGCGAAGGCGCUCUGCCGGACCAUAACUGACACUCAGGGACGAAAGCUAGGGGAGCGAAUGGG